rnacentral:rRNA from 1 species
GACGAACGCUGGCGGCGUGCUUAACACAUGCAAGUCGAACGGAAAGGCCCUGCUUUUGUGGGGUGCUCGAGUGGCGAACGGGUGAGUAACACGUGAGUAACCUGCCCUUGACUUUGGGAUAACUUCAGGAAACUGGGGCUAAUACCGGAUAGGAGCUCCUGCUGCAUGGUGGGGGUUGGAAAGUUUCGGCGGUUGGGGCUGGACUCGCGGGUUACCAGCUUGUUGGUGGGGUAGUGGCUUACCAAGGCUUUGAGGGGUAGCCGGCCUGAGAGGGUGACCGGCCACAUGGGGACUGAGAUACGGCCCAGACGCCUACGGGAGGCAGCAGUGGGGAAUAUUGCACAAUGGGCGGAAGCCUGAUGCAGCAACGCCGCGUGCGGGAUGACGGCCUUCGGGUUGUAAACCGCUUUCGCCUGUGACGAAGCGUGAGUGACGGUAAUGGGUAAAGAAGCACCGGCUAACUACGUG